rnacentral:rRNA from 1 species
GACGAACGCUGGCGGCGUGCUUAACACAUGCAAGUCGAGCGGUAAGACCCUUUCGGGGGUACGACGAGCGGCGAACGGGUGAGUAACACGUGGGUGACCUGCCCUCAGCUCUGGGAUAAGCCUGGGAAACUGGGUCGUAAUACUGGAUAUGACUCCACGGUGCAUGUCGCGGGGUGGAAAGCCUUGUGCGGCUGAGGAUGGGCCCGCGGCCUAUCAGCUUGUUGGUGGGGUGAUGGCCUACCAAGGCGACGACGGGUAGCCGGCCUGAGAGGGCGACCGGCC